rnacentral:rRNA from 1 species
GAUGAACGCUGGCGGCGUGCCUAACACAUGCAAGUCGGACGGUGCCUUCGGGCACAGUGGCGCACGGGUGAGGAACACGUAGCUGACCUGCCCUGGAGCGCGGGAUAACCCUGGGAAACGAGGGCUAAGACCGCCUACGCUCGACGACUGUAGAGGUCGUUGAGGAAAAACGAAAGUUGCUCUGGGGAGGGGGCGUGCGG